rnacentral:rRNA from 1 species
GACGAACGCUGGCGGCGUGCUUAACACAUGCAAGUCGAGCGGUAAGGCCCUUUCGGGGGUACACGAGCGGCGAACGGGUGAGUAACACGUGGGUGACCUGCCCUCAGCUCUGGGAUAAGCCUGAGAAACUGGGUCUAAUACUGGAUAUGACUCCACGGUGCAUGUCGUGGGGUGGAAAGCCUUGUGCGGCUGAGGAUGGGCCCGCGGCCUAUCAGCUUGUUGGUGGGGGAUGGCCUACCAAGGCGACGACGGGUAGCCGGCCUGAGAGGGCGACCGGCCACACUGGGACUGAGACACGGCCCAGACUCCUACGGGAGGCAGCAGUGGGGAAUCUUGCGCAAUGGGCGAAAGCCUGACGCAGCGACGCCGCGUGAGGGAUGACGGCCUGGU